CAGACGCUCCAGAAAACUUGACUGCGUGUGAUUUCUUUACUGCUUCGCGAAUUUGCGUUCGCUACAGAGAACAGACACCCUUGCACCGCCUCCGAAGAUUCGCUAUUCAUAGAAGUACCGUAUAUAAGCUGUCUAGACUUCCGUUCCCGGAAGUGCGGUUCACAAUUGGAAUCCAACAGUGAUAAUAGCAAAAUCUACUAGUUCAACAAAUUAAUCUGCUUGUGUUUACGCUCCAUUUCGAACUUUGAUCCUGUUUUUCCUCGCAUCCACACUUCGGAAAGUAACCACCCAGUUACAGUACGUUGCAUUCUUUUACAAAGCUCCUUGCAACGAUGGAAAAUCUUGGAAAACAGUGGAUGGAAUUCAUGCGCCGGCAGUCGGCCCGGACGGCCAUGGAUCCGCACGCAAAGACCAAGGCAGCCGUCGCCUUGGCCGUUAUGCUCUUCAUCGCCUAUGGUCUGCCCAAGGCCCACGCCGGUCCCGUUUCCUGUGGCGCAUGUGUAACAUUCGCCUGUCAAGCGUGCGCCUCCCUCGUGGCUGCCGGUGGUGCCUGUGCCACACUGACAGCGGUUCCACCUUUACUCUGUGCCUGCCUGCUGGCAUAUGGUGGACUAGGUUGCGUCAUCGCUGCGGGAACGUGCGUGGCUAUAUGCCUUACACCCACUAUAUGACGAUAUUUGCCGUAAUAGUGACAACGGCUGGCAUUUUGCUGUAAAUGUACUGAUUUUUAAAUCCAGUUUGGUUGUUAUAAUAGUUUUUUAUAACUACCCCAUUUGAUUUUAAGUUUUCUAAUUUGCUACUGUUGCUACAUACAACUUAUUGUACAUGGUGGGUGCAAUUGCGCAAGAACUAUCUUGUUUG